CCUGGAAACAGAUGCUAAUACCGGAUAACAACAGAUGAUGCCUAUCAACUGUUUAAAAGAUGGUUCUGCUAUCACUCUUGGAUGGACCUGCGGUGCAUUAGCUAGUUGGUAGGGUAACGGCCUACCAAGGCGAUGAUGCAUAGCCGAGUUGAGAGACUGAUCGGCCACAUUGGGACUGAGACACGGCCCAAACUCCUACGGGAGGCAGCAGGG
rnacentral:rRNA from 1 species